GCAAGACCUUCCAAGGCGCAUGCGCGAGACCGGGAUUGGCGCUUCGCAGGAGGCCCGCGCUGUGCCUGCCCCCGAACCCCGCCUCUCCACUUCUGCGGAGCCGGAGUUGACUGCCCUCUCGAGUUGCUCAAACUAACCUCUCUUCAGCUGCGACGGCGUUGAGUCGUCUUUGGGCUGGCGACAACACGUUGCGUUUGGUGGGAUCACUCGUCUGUCUCCUCGGAGGAGUCAGAGGCUAGCACAGGGGUAUUGGUCGCUCGCUGCUCGUCUGAUCCGACGGAGAGCCUGGAGGAGCGCCGAGUAAUGGAUGCCGUGGCCCCGCCCCAUCCCGUUUAGAAGGGCACUGGAGACGUGAUAAUAAUAGCCCCAUUUCAAAGAGGAGAACACUGAAGCCCAGGCAGUUCAAGACGUCAUCCAGCCGCUCGUCCGGGGAGCACACCCUAAUCCAAUUCCUGACCAAACCGGGCCCAGCCACACUUUCUGUCCUGGUGACCUGGUGUGUGUCAAAAAGUUCCAAAAACAAGGACUCACUCCUGCUUGGAAAGGACACUCCCCCGUUCCCUUACACCAGGGGAUGUUGCAGGAAACGCCGCCUGCCUAAUUAGCAGUGGCCAUAAUCUAUCUGCUUCUCCUUUUAACCAGUCUCUGCUCUCUACCCUAAACCGUCAGUCUCCUACCAGGCACCCAACAAUACUUGGCUGGCCUGCACCUUGUGCCUCACCCGCUGCGUCAAUGGGACUGACUUGGACCUGUCCCGUGUGUGUUGCUUCGUGUUCUUCCCCAGGUCAGUGUGUACAGCGGACCAGAAGGACGACAUCUCAUCGCUUCCCCCGAGCUACACCCCAGGUCCCGUGGAGCUGUGCCCCUCCGUGUACCCCUCCUGGCCAGCAUUAGCGCAGCUGGGUCAGCAGCUCUCAGCACUGCAGCCGUGGUCAGGGGCGAAACUGGACUAACAUCCCUGUCUCAAGUAGAUGCCAAUUUGGGAAAUCUCCAGUCUGCCAUAAAUAUGUUACAUACUCAGGUAGAAUCCUCAGCUGAAGUUCUUCUCCAGAACCGCUGAGGCUUAGAUCUAGUGUUCCUUUCCCAGGGAGGCUUGUGUGCAGCGUUGGGGGAAAGCUGUUGUUUUUAUGCUAACCAAUUUGUCAUUAAAGACACUCUUCAAAGGGUUUGAAAAAAAUUAGAUAAACGGCAACAGGAGCAGGAGAAGAGUACCCCAUGGUACCAAAGCAUGUUUUUUUU